UACGAAGGGGGGCUAGCGUUGCUCGGAAUCACUGGGCGUAAAGGGUGCGUAGGCGGGUCUUUAAGUCAGGGGUGAAAUCCUGGAGCUCAACUCCAGAACUGCCUUUGAUACUGAGGAUCUUGAGUCCGGAAGAGGAGAGUGGAAUUCCUGGUGUAGCGGUGAAAUGCGCAGAUAUCAGGAAGAACACCCGUGGCGAAGGCGGCUCUCUGGGACGGUACUGACGCUGAGACGCGAAAGCGUGGGGAGCGAACAGG
rnacentral:rRNA from 1 species